GCCUCAUUAACUCAGAGGUUAGACCACUGGUCUAGCAAACCAGAGGUCAGGAGUUCAAGUCUUUGAUGAGGCU